rnacentral:lncRNA from 1 species
AGUGGGAGGCAGGUGGGAGGUGUCUCGUGUCCACGGCUACGCAAGACGUCGCUGCACAGUGGGGCUCGGGCCACUCUCCCAAACGCAGCACCGGGGUGCUUGCGCAGCACAGAAGCAGGGCGGCUGUGACUGCUCCCAGCCUCCCCAGGCCGGCCAUGGAGAGCCUGCGACCUGCUGUGUCCGACACGGCCUCACUGAGCAAGAGACAGGCGCAGAGGAUCUGAACAAAGGGCCUUGCCGAGUCCUGUUUACAGCGUCACAUCCGGCCCUGUGUCCUCUGGUCAGACUUCCGGAAGAUGCCCAUGAAGACGGUUUUCUGUUUCCUUACUGGCUCACACCAAACUCACAAUCAACACACUUGUCCUGCUUCCCUCUUGUCAUAGCUGUCUCGGCCAUGAGCCUUGCGAUUUCAGAGGAAUCAGAUCAGGAGACACUUCUGGAGAAUCACAAACAACUGCCAUCCUGCACAGACUCACCAGGCAGAGGAUCUUCUGUUUUCAUGGCCUGCAUUUUUGCUAAGAAUUAAAAAGAGCAGAAACUUCAGAGACACCCCAGUGACAUUUUUCUUUUAAUUAAGAUUUACUUGAUGGGUAAAGUGUGUCUGAGGUUAGCAUUCAUAUUCAUGCCAAAGCUUUACGAUUCAUGCAGAGUGUGGGCAAUGGGUGUUAUCACAGUGAAAUACGAAGAGUGUCUGCAGAGUCUCUCAUUUUACACAGCUUCAGUCUCCCAAAACCAACCACAGUCCAAAACAUGAAAUGGAAAAUCCUAGAAAUAAACAACUCAUAACCUUUAAUCUU